rnacentral:rRNA from 1 species
GAGCUUGCUCCUUUGACGUUAGCGGCGGACGGGUGAGUAACACGUGGGUAACCUACCUAUAAGACUGGGAUAACUUCGGGAAACCGGAGCUAAUACCGGAUAAUAUUUCGAACCGCAUGGUUCGAUAGUGAAAGAUGGCUCUGCUAUCACUUAUAGAUGGACCUGCGCCGUAUUAGCUAGUUGGUAAGGUAACGGCUUACCAAGGCAACGAUACGUAGCCGACCUGAGAGGGUGAUCGGCCACACUGGAACUGAGACACGGUCCAGACUCCUACGGGAGGCAGCAGUAGGGAAUCUUCCGCAAUGGGCGAAAGCCUGACGGAGCAACGCCGCGUGAGUGAUGAAGGUCUUCGGAUCGUAAAACUCUGUUAUUAGGGAAGAACAAACGUGUAAGUAACUGUGCACGUCUUGACGGUACCUAAUCAGAAAGCCACGGCUAACUACGUGCCAGCAGCCGCGGUAAUACGUAGGUGGCAAGCGUUAUCCGGAAUUAUUGGGCGUAAAGCGCGCGUAGGCGGUUUUUUAAGUCUGAUGUGAAAGCCCACGGCUCAACCGUGGAGGGUCAUUGGAAACUGGAAAACUUGAGUGCAGAAGAGGAAAGUGGAAUUCCAUGUGUAGCGGUGAAAUGCGCAGAGAUAUGGAGGAACACCAGUGGCGAAGGCGACUUUCUGGUCUGUAACUGACGCUGAUGUGCGAAAGCGUGGGGG